rnacentral:rRNA from 1 species
GAUGAACGCUGGCGGCGUGCCUAAUACAUCCAAGUCGAGCGAACAGACGAGGAGCUUGCUCCUCUGACGUUAGCGGCGGACGGGUGAGUAACACGUGGAUAACCUACCUAUAAGACUGGGAUAACUUCGGGAAACCGGCGCUAAUACCGGAUAAUAUAUUGAACCGCAUGGUUCAAUAGUGAAAGACGGUUUUGCUGUCACUUUUAGAUGGAUCCGCGCCGCAUUAGCUAGUUGGUAAGGUAACAGCUUACCAAGGCAACGAUGCGUAGCCGACCUGAGAGGGUGAUCGGCCACACUGGAACUGAGACACGGUCCAGACUCCUACGGGAGGCAGCAGUAGGGAGUCUUCCGCAAUGGGCGAAAGCCUGACGGAGCAACGCCGCGUGAGUGAUGAAGGUCUUCGGAUCGUAAAACUCUGUUAUUAGGGAAGAACAAAUGUGUAAGUAACUAUGCACGUCUUGACGGUACCUAAUCAGAAAGCCACGGCUAACUACGUG